rnacentral:lncRNA from 1 species
GCCAGAGCCGUCACCCCGCACCCGCACCCGCACCCCAUUCCCCGCAACCUCCCUUCUCACUGCCAAGCGCAUCCUCCAUUCUCACAGCACUGACCGUAGCCUCCAUUCUCACCCAACCCCGCAGCCUCCAUUCUCACCGCCAGCCUCCAUUCUCCUAAUUUUUUCUUUUCCCCUUUCUGUCAACUUUUUUCCCGUUCCACACCUGCAGCCGCAGCCGCACCCUCCUGACAAAAGCAGCCCACUGAAUCAAGCGACUGAAUUCCUUCCUUGGCCAGUAGCUCGCCUGAUUCUUGCCACCGUCACUGACUCACCAUACGUAGCAGCCACACGGAGCCACCUCGGUAGAGCCAGGGGCCUCUACCAUACCCCGAUUCACUGCAUUCUGGUAACUGCCCUGUGACUCUUCCUCUUCGACAACUUCCAGAUUGCUAACUCUUUUUCUACUAGUCUUCUCAUUGCUGGGUUUCUUUUUCUUCUUUGAAUUUGGAGCUGGAGGGCGUUUCUUCACCGGCCCACUCUGCGGCUUUGCCGCGGCGGUGGCAGCAGCAGAGUAAGCUAACUUAGACAGUGGGAGGAAAUUCUUGUUCGAGUCAAGGAUGGAAACAAAGUUGAAUUGGGGUUGAAAACAUGAAUUUGAAGAGUGUGUGAAGAGAUUUGGAAGAGCUGUUGAUGUUAUUGAAAUGGAGAAAGGCAUUGUCUUCUGCAAACGUCCACCAACUGUUUGUGAAUUUGACUUCAACGUUUUGCCUUGUUUCUCUCAAGGAAGAUGAAGAUAUACUUUGUUCUGUAUAGGUAGUUUUGAAUCGGCUUAAUUGCAAAAUGAGGUGUGGAAGUAUUAUUUAUUUGUUAUAUAUCCCUACAGCUAUUAGUUGCUGCAUUUUAGUGCCUAAUAAAGAUCAAUUAGUUGCACGCCAUUCCAAUCAAUUAAAAAUUCAUUAGGAAGGUACUCUCCUUUUUCCGAAGCUCGAGCUCGAGUUUCGAGCUCGAAAAGCUCGGCUCGAGUUUGUCUCGAGUUCGAGCUCGAGCUCGAGCUCUCUACCAAUAUAUCGAGUCGAGCUCGAGUGCCUUGUGAAGCUCGAAUUAGUACUCGGCGAGUUCGAGUUAGCUCGAUUAGAGAUUCGAGCCGAGCUCGAUUGUCAUAUGUUCGAGCUCGACUCGGCUCGUUUAACAGCUCUAGACUGCCGCCGCUGCUUAAGAUUAAUUCGUUAAGCCGAUAAACACAGUAAAAAUACAAAUAAGAUAUACAAAAUAAAUAUGGAACUCUUUGCUAUAGUGCGUAAUUAAUUGUUAAUUGAUUUGUUUUAUUUUAUUUUAUUUAUGGUGAUAUUCAAUUACUUAAAAGGAGCCCACAACGUAUAAAAAAUGUAUUGAAAGGGUUUCAGAGAAUACACCAAUCCAGCUGGUCAAAAAUGCUCCAGAUAGUGGGAAAGAUGUAAUCACUACUCUUGCAACUACAGGAAAGAAAUGGUACAUUUGACUUUGAGGAGCUGCAAACCACUCUGAAUCUGAUCAGAUGAAGUUGGUUAUUAACGUUCAACAAAAAGAGGGAUCUUCUGACGAGAAAUCAGGGACAGCAAAAGCUUUCAGUUCUGGACACUUAGAAGACAUGGAUGAUUGCUUCAUUUGCUCUCUUCGCCAUGACAAUGUUCUGAAGUUUGAGAGGCUGCAAUGGAAAGAUUAGUGCGAGAUUUUAAUCAAUUCCUCCACUAUGAUAUAGGGAUUGCUGAAGUGAGAUGCAUGUAUAUAUUGCCAAUUAUUUCUUCAUUCGUUUUUUCUGAUAAUUUCAAAUAAUUAUAAGUCCUAGUGUUUUUGCAAGGUUAUGGACCAUUAAUAAGGUGCCCAAAUUGCUUUAGGACGUAUUAUGAAACUCUAGGUAAUUCACUAGUUUCUUAGAUUGUGUCAAUUUGUAAUUAAUACCUUUUACUUGAUUGCUUGGCAUGAAGGCCAAAUUAAUUGUUGCGGACGUUCUUGAAAAAAAAAAAAAAGACAUUCAAACAAGUAGAUCGAGUUAUGUAGUAAAGAUUAUCAAUUGUGUUAAAGAAUUUUUCAAAGACUCAGCAUACGCAAAAAAUGGUUAGCAGUGAAUGAAGUAAGCCAAUAUCAGAAGAGUUGCUUGAAAGCUUUUUGGGAAAGCAAUAUAGGAAACCAUUACUAACCUGUACACUUCCACAUAAUUCAUAUCAAAUAAUUAAAAGCUCAUUGAGGUGUCGGUACAUUAAUCUCUAGAACUUAGAACCCUUAAAAGAUGAAUUAAGAAAGAAAAGAUUGCCAGAACUAAAAGUGGAGAGAAGCUGACAAAUGAACAAUGAAAUUGAGAGUAAAUGAAAAUGCAAACCAAAAGUAAUACCCACAAGGAACCGAAAUCAUCUGCAAAUGCUCCACAACAUGUUUUUGUGGAGAAUAAAAAUGCUGGUUUGUUGUACUAAAAGGUGUACUAUUGUACUACACUACUUGCUUGCUUUUAAGAAUAUAUAUAUUUUCUUUCCCUAAAUGCAUGCUUAUAUAUGAGGCUCCUUGUACAUGUUUAAAUACUUUAACUCGAUAUUAGAACUCUUUCACAGAAAACUCUUGCCUAUGUUAUCACUUCACAUUGAAUUGGGAUGAGCUGGUUUGAUUUGUACGUCUAGUCUUAGUUUUUUUUCCCUUCUUUUUGCUUUUUUUGGUAAUGUUAAAUACGUUUCAUUAUAUCCAAAAGAAGCUUUAUUUAUUCAUUUUGGCCUGUUGCUUUAUGCCGGAAAAGAAGUUUUUUUUUUUUUUUUUUUUUUCCCCGGUGUCCAGUCUGCAACAAUUGCAAGUUGCCACAAAAAAAAAGGGUUCUCUAGGAUCGAUCGAACUGAGAAACAACCAAAGGGCAUGUCCAGCACAUGCGAGGACAAGGAGGCCAAAAGUAUUGAUGGGAAUCGGUCUAACUUCCCUGCUCUAUUGUCCAAAUGGAGAUUUCGAAGCGAAUAUCCAGCAAGCUAGAAACAAAGGCAACCUUUCCUGGCUCAACCAAUCCAAAUACUGUUUUCCUUAGUAUACGUUGAUGAUUAUUUCUAGGUACAGAAAUUAGAAUGUUAUAUAGACAAUUUUUUUUAAUGAUUUUUUAAAGUAUGUAUGAUUGGGAAGUAUAGACUGUGAAUAUUAGUGUCGCCUACAUGACCACAUGAUAUUGUUUCAAUAUUCAAUUGUUAUCUCACUAGCUCAUGAGAUAAGUAACCACAUGAAUAGAUUUAUGUUGAUAGUUUUAGAAUCCUGAAGAUAGACAAAUUGGAGGAAAUAAGAAGUUCCAUAUUCGUUGUAUAUAGACGUAUUAUAUAUGAUAUUUUAUCUGAUAAUUACAAUGAUUAUUAAUCUGUAUCUUAUCAUAAUAAAGUAUCAUAUAUCUGAAGAUAUUAGAGUCUAUUAUAAUUCUAUGAUGGGAGGGAUUGUGACUCUAUAAAUACUCUAGGGCUUCUGAUCCCUCUCACCACUCUGACAUUCGUUAUUUUUACCUAUCACUAAAAUAACAUAAUAGAGAGUUAGGUAAGGGAUGGCUAGACAGCAAAGGUUUAUAGUUUACAACCUUGGUGAUUGGAAGGCUUGCUGAAAGGGCGGUGAAAUUCUUCUCCAAAAUGUCUUCAAUAUCUCAAGGUAUGCUAAUCUAGAAUUUAUUUAUUAAUUUUAAUUUACAAAUCAUACUAAAGAUCCUGCUCCUUAUGUCUAACAUUUGGUAUCAGAGCUAUGGAUUGACGUUUAUGAUUGUAAAUCUAUUAUGUUAGUAAUUUUAUUGGACUUGUAUAAAAUUUGAUAUACAAUCAAAUGUAAACCUAACUAUUUGUUUACUUCACCAUAAUGACUUUGGUCUAGAAUUGAAGGACCAUUUUCGUUUCCUUAUGUCUAACAGGAACUGUUCGAAUUUAGCUCACUGUUCGAAUUCUGCACAAUGAUCUCUAUUUCAUUUUAAUGUGCCAAUGUGACACCUUGAACCGUAUGUGCGUUAUGCUCAAUUUACUUGAUUUAUUAAAACUGUUAGUGUGUUUUUGAACCUCAUUGGACUGUUUAACUCAUUCCACGCUUUUGUUUUCCUUUACAAAGUGCAAGACCGAGAGUACCCGCGAAUAGUACUAGGUUGUUUUUUUUAAGACUUUAAGUUGUAUUGUAGCAUAUGACUGUAGUACAUAUUCUUUUGGGUUGUAUUUAAGAUUGAAGGUUAACUAAUGGUAAGUAUUACAUGUUUUAGAGUACUUUAAAUAUAUAUUGAAAAUAUUUAAAGUAUUUCUAAUUUUGAGUUAUGGAUUGUAGUGAGUUCUGACGAGAGAUGGGCAGGCGUUCCGCGGAUACCCUUGGGUUCACCCUUGGGAGAAGUGGGGGCGUCAAAGGUGGUAUCAGAACCACUUCGCGUGGUCUCUGAGCGGGAUGAGGUUGGGCCAAGUAGUGUUAUGGUCCUUAUUAUGUGAAUGAGUAAAGACUUAAGUACUUUUCUAGAGCAUAAGCUGUGAAUCUUGAAUAUGAUAGGUAUAAACCUUUUAUCUUGAUACUUGGGGAAAAUUAGAUAUGUAUGUUGGGUAGCAAUCUCAAAUAUGGUGAUUUACUUUUGGGACCGGCCGGCUUGAGUUGUGAAUUAUCUUAUUUCGGAUUCUUGUACUCGAAUAUUUAAGAGUUGAGGGCAAUACUAAGGAUUUGAGAUCUCCAUUUGCGGGAAUAAGAAUGGGUUAAUGCUUUGCGAGAGCAAGCGCAAGAGGUAAACGAACAUCUAGUUCAAGUAGUAAGAGAAAUGAGAGAUCAGACGGAGAAUAUCUUAACCAAGUGUGGGACAAUAUUGUCCAGAGAUAAGUGGAAUGUAGUUGAGCUUAAGAGAGAAAGGUGAAGUAGAUCGUGGCCUAGAAGAUCCUAGUGUUGGGAAUGAAGUUGAACAUGUUAGGGAACGAGAAUUAUCUAGUUCCAAUUAAUCUAGCGAAACACUAUUUUUGACCUUUUGUAAUGGGACGAUGGGAAUAGGAUUUAAGAGUUUGCGUCUUGGAGAUGCAUAUACUUUUGUUAAUCACCCGUUUACUUUUGUUUACUGAUCUUGACUUGGUAUGUACUUUACUUAACUGUAACUUGUGUUAUGAUUUAAUGAGCUCUACUUUGUGUUUGACUUGUACGGUAAUAAUGUUAUUUAUGCAAGUAAUUCCAUUUCUUUAGAAUUGUUACCGGUAUGUGUGUGUAGUUCAGUUAUGGUUUACUGUGGGAUUUAUGCAGGUGCAUCUAAAUUAGUUGUGAACAUCGAAACUAGAUGACAAUGAAAGGGACAUCAACCCAGACAAUCCCUAAACCAAAGGGUAGAUAAUCAUUCUGCAACUGAUCAAAAUGCCGAGCCAAGAAUUGGGGGAGGAGAUGAUCAAAUGGGAUUAGUUUUAACUUCCAUGACGUAUGUAUUAGAGUUCUUUAGCACAACAUGGUCCAGGGUUAUGGAAGGUAUGAAUUUUGAGAACAAAAUUCUUUUAAGGAGGGAAGGAUGUUAGGACCCGAAAAAUUUUCUUAUUUUUAUUUUAUUUUACUGGUUUAUUUAAUUAUUUAUUUACCCGUUUACCCCAAAUAAUUUAUUUCACUCAUUUUAAGUCCAUUUGUAUGCAAAAAUGUCCCUUUUAUAAUUUUAAAACGUUUCGUUAGCAAAUUUAAAUUUUCUACUAAUCAUUUAGCGAGAGAUAACGGGUACAUGUUUUUCGAGAUAAUAUUCGAUUCGAGAGUGCAUUAGUUUUUGGAGAAUUAAGAAUGAUUAAUAGUAGACUAAAAAAAAGUUAAUUGAAGGAUUAGAAGUGAAUGAGUUCAAAUUAAGUUUUUACCGCGCGCGCGUCAAUAAUUUCCCCAAAGUCGCGCUGGUACGACUAAUUGGAGAUUUGAGAAAUUAAUACUAGACUACUAAGGGUAAAUAAUUACCAUAUUCAAUGAAGUACGUUGGAGGAUUAGUGCAUGAGUGUAUCAAACCCAAGAGAAAUUGGUGGUACGAAACACUAACGCGACACUAUUGAAGGUUGACUUUUUGCCCGACACUUAUGGCUACUAUUCCAUUCUUUCUUCCCAAGUUUUAGCACACAUCUCUCUCUCCUCACUCCCUCAUUUUCGGCCAGACCAAGGAGAAAGAAAAGGAAUAAGAGAAAACUUCAACUUUUGCUCCAUUUUGCUUCUAUUCACUAGAGAAAUCUUCACCCACUCCUAAACACUUUGGAGAUUAGUUUUAUCUUGGAAGAAGACGUCAUCUUGAGGAAUUUCUUGGAGGAUUUUUGGUGGGAAAUUUCUGGUUUCAUCAAGAGUUUCAUCUUGGGUUUUGAAGGUAUAAACAUCUCCACCAAAGGUUUUACUUUCUUGUUUCAUUUCUUGGUUUUGAAGCUUGUAGCUUCCUUAUUAUUGUUGUUGCUUGGAUAUGGUUGGUUGAAAUGGGCUCUAUGAACUCCCACCUUGGUUAUAUAAGGGCUGCAUGAUUUUUAUGUGUGUGUUAGUGUGUUUGUGAUGAGUUUUACUAAAAGAAACUAGAAGAGGAAAAAAGAAAGAGAGAAAACUGUGAGAGGAAGUAAGCUGGCCGAAUCUGUCCUGUUAUUGCCUUGCCUAUGUUUCAAAUUUUUGAUGCUCAAAUGACUGUGAAACUGAUGUAUAUAUGUAGUAUAUGGUGUGUAGAAAGUGUUUACAAAAAAUCAUUUGAUUUGGCUGAGCAAAACUUGAAUUUUCAAAAUUUAAAGAAACCUGAAAAUGGUAAUCUGGGCUGCCGAACAGUGCUUCUUUGAUCGAACAUAUCUCUUUGUACAAAAGUCAAAAUCAAGUGCCUUUUACGGAAUUUGAAACUAGACAUUCUUAGCUUUAAAAUGGUGUAAAAAAACAGUCUAGUUCAUUUUGUGUGAACUGCAGUGAACUUAUAAAUCAGCUGUUCUGUUCAGCCUGUUCAUUCUCGAAUGGAAAUGAGAAGCUGUAACUUGUGGCUUGAAUUUGAACUGCUUGUGAACAGAAUGUACACGUUUAUCGUCUUAGAUAAGAAUUCUCAAAAUGGCUUCUCAGAAUGCAUCGUAAAAGUACAUUCCAUAAACAGUAAUUUUUACAGGAUUAGAAUAAGCUAGCUAUAAGGUAAAAACUAAAAGUGGGUAAAAAAUGGGCGCUGCUUAGAGCUGUUAAUCGAACCGGGCAGCUCGCGAGCCGAGCUCGACCCGGCUCGAUAAGAGCUCGGCUCGGCUCGUUAACAGAGAGAAACGAGCCGAGCUCGAGCUCUAAUGAGUACUCGUUUAUUAAACGAGCCGAGCGGGCUCGGCUCGUAUAAGCUCGGUAAGCUCGAAAGAUAGGGGCAUUUUCGUCAUUUCAGCGUGUAUGUAGUACACUAACUCACCUAAGUCAUCUCCCGUCUGCUGUGCUGUAACCAUAAUUCCUCCUUUCCUCUUUUGGUAUUUUGUUUCCCAUCCCACAGGCCAGAGCCGUCACCCCCGCACCCGCACCCGCACCCCAUUCCCCGCAACCUCCCUUCUCACUGCCAAGCGCUAUCCUCCAUUCUCACAGCACUGACCGUAGCCUCCAUUCUCACCCAACCCCGCAGCCUCCAUUCUCAUUCUCACCGCCAGCCUCCAUUCUCCUAAUUUUUUCUUUUCCCCUUUCUGUCAACUUUUUUCCCGUUCCACACCUGCAGCCGCAGCCGCACCCUCCUGACAAAAGCAGCCCACUGAAUCAAGCGACUGAAUUCCUUCCUUGGCCAGUAGCUCGCCUGAUUCUUGCCACCGUCACUGACUCACCAUACGUAGCAGCCACACGGAGCCACCUCGGUAGAGCCAGGGGCCUCUACCAUACCCCGAUUCACUGCAUUCUGGUAACUGCCCUGUGACUCUUCCUCUUCGACAACUUCCAGAUUGCUAACUCUUUUUCUACUAGUCUUCUCAUUGCUGGGUUUCUUUUUCUUCUUUGAAUUUGGAGCUGGAGGGCGUUUCUUCACCGGCCCACUCUGCGGCUUUGCCGCGGCGGUGGCAGCAGCAG